rnacentral:rRNA from 1 species
GAUGAACGCUAGCGGCAGGCUUAAUACAUGCAAGUCGAACGGUAACAGGUCUGUAGCAAUACAGAUGCUGACGAGUGGCAGACGGGUGAGGAACACGUACACAACCUUCCUUUAUCUGGUGAAUAGCCCCUCGAGAGAGGGAUUAAUACACCAUAGUAUCUUGGAGAGUCAUCUCUUUGGGAUUAAAGUUCCGGCGGAUAAAGAUGGGUGUGCGUCUGAUUAGCUAGUUGGUUGAGGUAACGGCUCACCAAGGCGACGAUCAGUAACUGGUGUGAGAGCACGACCAGCCUCACGGGCACUGAGAUACGGGCCCGACUCCUACGGGAGGCAGCAGUAAGGAAUAUUGGUCAAUGGACGCAAGUCUGAACCAGCCAUGCCGCGUGCAGGAUGAAGGCGCUCUGCGUCGUAAACUGCUUUUAUCAGGGAAGAAAUCACUUGUUUCUACGAGUGUUGACGGUACCUGAGGAAUAAGCACCGGCUAACUCCGUGCCAGCAGCCGCGGUAAAAC